AGUGAGGGCAGCUGCCGGGUGAGGUUGCCAGCCUCCUGGUUUGUCUCCUCCGCAAGCUCUGCUUACCCUGCCUCCUGCCAGAGGUCGGAGCAGCAUGGCCGCUUGCCAGAAGCUGGACCAGUUCUCAGAGUCCCAGCUGCCAAAACCGGAAGCCAAACGAGCCUCUAAGUCCGUGGUCACUCAGUCUUGGGAUUUCCACUCCAGUCACAGGAAACACACCAAGAUGGUGGAACUGGCCUCGGACCUGAGACGGGUGGCUGAUGGCUGAUCCUCAUUGUCCGUUUGCCUACGUUUGGACAUCACCUAGGAGAUUGAAGCUUUUGGAGAGGACUAAGUGCGGGGGAAGACCCACCUGUAAACGGGUCCUGAGGAGAGCCAGCCAAGCUCUGGGAUUUGUCUGCUUUCUCUGUUCCCUGAUCCGCUGAGAUAUGAACAAGCAGCCCUCUGCUCCUGGUGCCACAGCCGCAAGUCCCGCAGUUCCGCGCUUCCUUUAUGGGAUGGAUAACACCCCCGCAUCAUGAGCCGAAGCUGCCAGAGCUGCUGAAUCCAUCCAACUUAGGGUCCCAUGUAGGAGAGAAGAUGCCAGAAGCUUGCUGUAGUGACUGAGUGUGAGUUAAAGCAGGAGGAUAUUAUGACAAGAGGAAGGUCUGGCAGACUCCCCUGUCCCAGGCUCCUCCCUUGGGGUCUCCUGCCCUCCUCAGAAUGCCCAGGAAGCAGGAGGCUGGAAGACUGGAGUAGACAGGUCCUGAAGGGGCUCUGUCCUCUAGACCCAGAUGCAAGAAUUUCCAGGGGGCUGUGGGUAUGGGGAGGAUCACUCAGAGACCUCUGAGAGCUGUUUCACCAGAAUGAGGGUGAAGAAGAUUUGGGGUACAGGGCAAAGAAGUUACCUUCCCUCCGUGCCUUUGGGUUAUAUUAAGCUGGUCAUCUCACUCCGUGUGUAUCAUCUUCACAGAUAUGCCUGCUGCCUCCCUUGCCUGUGUUAGGGGUGGAGUAUCAGGGCUAUGACUCCCUCCUACAGGAACUAGCUGGGUCUGGAAUCACAGCUGAAGUCUAUAUAAGUCCUAGAGAACCCAGAGAGCAAGAGAAAAAUUGCCCAGGGCUGGAGGAUAGAGCACCCUAAACUCAGGGUUAAUAGGAAUGGGAGGAGUGUGGGAGUUGCUGUAAUCAGCAGUUUAGACAGGCAGUAUGCUAUGAGCAUAUAAAUCCCUAGCUCCCCUUCACUUCCCCAUGGAGCAACUGUCUUUCUCUUCUGUUAGCAAAAAUCCCAAGGUUUAUUCUCCAGAGCUGCAGAGACAGCCAGACUCCUCCAGUGGCUCUCUGGAAGAUCCUCUGGGAGACCAAAUGAGUUCCUCAAGAUGACAGCAUAUGGCAUCUGGCAUAUGCUCAUCCUACAUGAGGAGAGGAAAGUACCAUAACCCUCAAGUCGCAAAAUUCAAGGACGGAGAAUAUAAAGUGGAAUACCACCAGGAGCAUGUUUUAAGAAAAUUGCCAAAAGUUGAAGUUUCCACUGCAGACGGAAAGAGAUACUCACUCUAGGACACACUCUCAGGAAACAUGGAAACACCCGAGGCAGAAGAUUCUAUGAGUUUCCAAGAGAAAAAGCAAGUCACACAAAACCUGAGGCAGCAGAAUCUCCCUUGGACUUCUCAGCUCCCCUGGAAGAAAAACAGUGCUGGUCAACACUCUAGCUCUGGAUAAAAAAUUUGUCUCCACACACUAGAAUUCUAUUCCCAGCUCAACUAUCCCUCAGCUAUUGCUGGGAAAAGAUGCCUUCUGACAUGUGAAGUCCUAAGAGUUACAUCCUAAACCUUUCCUGGGCCAAGUCCCUCACACCUUCUGUGUCCUCAACACACUCGAAACUUUGUAGCCUACUAAGCAAGCCAUGCAUUCAGCCUUGCCUUUCCAUAAAGAUGUGACCUCAAAGAAAACUGGAGGCCCUUCUAAUUGGGUUGCUGCUGUAUUCUUAGGGCCUGUAACUGUGCCUAGCACAUAGGCGGUGUGCAAUGACUUUGUUUUUAUGUGUGUGAAUAUUUUGCCUAUGUGUAUGUGUACCAUGGAGGCCAGAGGAGGGCCUUGGAUCCCCUAGUUGCAGAAGCUUGUGAGUCAUCAUGUGGGUGCAGCAAGUGCUCUGAACAGCUAAGUCAUCUCUCCAGCUCUUGCAGCGGCUCUUGAAGAAUAAAGGCCGCACAGUUCAAUCUGCUGGGCACCUGAUCUGGGUCAGCGGCAUUUUCCUGUGUUUUUCCCAGUGAACCUCUGCCAUUGCCGUUGUCAUUGUCGUCUGGAGGCUGAAGAUACACUUGGUGUAUGGCUCAUCUGCUCUCAAGCCUAGAACUGCCACCUGCCACACAGGGGACAUCACUACUUUCUCAGUUGUUGCCUGAAGCCAAAAUCUACAUUCUGUCUUGGUAGUUUUGCCUCUUCUGGAAAUUCUUUUUUUUUUUAAAUCACACACCAUGUGACCUUCGGCGACUGGCUCUCUUUAACUCUUCAUGGAAUUGCCAGGGUUCGCGCACACUGGGGUCAGGGUUAGGGUUAUAAUAACACUUUUAAUCGUGGCUGAUUGGUAACCCCCAGAGACUGGGUGGGGGACUUUUUACUUACCACUUAGAAACAGGUAGAAAUGGGGAGGGGUGUGUCCUCUCUUGCUUUGAGUGUGGUUAAUUACACCCUACGAAGGGGCAGGUUAAGUUCAAACCUACACAGUAGAGCCCUCCAGCAGCAGGGGUAGCCGUGAAGAUUACACUCACAGGCUCACCCUUUACCUCAGUGUUGGACCUGGUGUCCGUAGACUAUUCUCCAAACUGUGCGAGGAUGCUGGGACCAUUCUGUAUUUGUGUGGUCACUUUGAAAGCUAAAGCUUCGGACACGAGCGUGGAGCUGUGGAGCUUUUUCCUCUGGGCAGAGCAUGGCCAAUGCUAUCUUGAACCCAGAGCAACUGUGAUUACAUAUUAGAAACCCAGAAACCCUGGCAAGCUUGAACCUACUAACAUUCUCUCAAGGUGGGAGGGUACUCAGGACCAGUACCAUAAAGGCACCAUCACUCCCUUCCCCAGGAAUACAGAUGCAGUUAACCAGUGCUCAGAGGGGAAGCUUUUAAGUUGCUUGUGAUCCUGCAAGCAACCUCAGCCUUGAAUUUGGUGGCUGGAAACCUCUGUAACACUAGUUCUAGGGGUCAGUCCUUAGUGCCAUAUUUGAGGUGAAUAACAUUUGUUCACAUCUGCUGGAGAAAGUUAGAAGAAGAGUUCCUUACAUCUGAAUGCUGAUUUCUCACAGAAUUAUACAC
ensembl:processed_transcript